AUUUAUGGGUCUUAUUUUUACCUUUAUAAAGCCUAUUUUUUCCAUAACUGUGCUAUUAUCUUUUGAGUCAAAAUCUUACAUUUAAUCAGUGAAUUAGAAUAAUAAGACAUUCGGGCUGUUAUUAAGCAAAUGAAAUCAGUAUCAACAAAAUUCCUCUUUAAAAUCCAGACAUAAGCUGCACCUGAAGUGGCAUUUAGAAGUAUUUACAUACUGUUUAAUGCAAAACAUGUAUGCAUUUAACCUGCAGUUACAAAUGCAUAAAUAAUCUGAUAUAUUAAACAUAAAACGUUGAAUACUGAUAUUUGAAACAAUAAUAUAAAAAAAUGAAAAGAUACUUUAAAUGUGAAAUUAAACCCACCAGCAGGUGGCAGAAAGUCACUGUUAAUAAGUGAGUCAUUGCUAUUGAACCGAAUCAUUUAAAAGGGUGAUUCAUUCAGGAACAAAAUGGCAACGCUGUGGACGAAAUAAGAGCAAUAAAGUAGGCGAUAUGGUGUACUAAAACAUAAGUCUCUUAAAUAAACCUCUAGUUUAUUGAACUGUUAGUAAAAAAAAAAAAAAUCAAUAUUACAUUUGUACUGUAUAUGGUAAUCAUGCAGUGAAAGUGUGCAGUGUAAAUGCGCAAGCGCACUAGACUUAACGAAUAUUGAGCUAAAUAGCUCACUUGUCCUGGUAUUACUUAACUAUAUCAUGUUAUGAAUAAACUAAACUAUUUUAAUUUUUACCUCAGUGUGUUUCUUCUGAGUUUAUGUGUGCCGUCACGCUCAUUUGUUCUGAAGUCUCUCACGAAGAGACAAACAGACAAACAGAGUGAGCCUAGACUUAACGAAUAUUGAGCUAAAUAGCUCACUUGUCCUGGUAUUACUUAACUAUAUCAUGUUAUGAAUAAACUAAACUAUUUUAAUUUUUACCUCAGUGUGUUUCUUCUGAGUUUAUGUGUGCCGUCACGCUCAUUUGUUCUGAAGUCUCUCACGAAGAGACAAACAGACAAACAGAGUGAGCCUCAUUUACUGCAACUCUCUGAUGACGUAGUAAUUUACCGCGGGGAAGAAAAAAUCUUCGGUCUGUCCAAUGAUUGUAAACCGUCAUUAGGUCCAUCAGACUUAAUAUAUUAGCGGUAAUGUGACCAAAAAUAUUUAAGACCCAUCGAAUACGAAUUUAAGACAUUUUAAGACUUUUUAAGGCCUUAAAUUAGGAAAACGUUAUUUAAGACAUUUUAAGACUUUUUAAGGACCCGCGGACACCCUGAACACCUGAGAUCAGGACAGGGAUCUGAAGUCAUAACUGUAUUAAUGUAAUCUGACAUGAAAUACCUGAGAUCAGGACAGGGAUCUAAAGUUAUAACUGUAUUAAUGUAAUUUAAUGUAAUUUGACAUGGUAACAACCUACGAGAGUACAGGAAAUUAGGAAAACGUAUUUAAGACAUUUUAAGACUUUUUAAGGACCCGCGGACACCCUGAACACCUGAGAUCAGGACAGGGAUCUGAAGUCAUAACUGUAUUACUGUAAUCUGACAUGAAAUACCUGAGAUCAGGACAGGGAUCCUAAGUUAUAACUGUAUUAAUGUAAUUUAAUGUAAUUUGACAUGAAACACCUGAGAUCAGGACAGGGAUCUGAAGUUAUAACUGUAUUAAUGUAAUUUGACAUGAAACACCUGAGAUCAGGACAGGGAUCUAAAGUUAUAACUGUAAUAAUGUAAUUUAAUGUAAUCUGACAUGAAACACCUGAGAUCAGGACAGGGAUCUAAAGUCAUAACUGUAUUAAUGUAAUUUAAUGUAAUCUGACAUGAAACACCUGAGAUCAGGACAGGGAUCUAAAGUCAUAACUGUAUUAUAUGAAUGUAAUUUGACAUGAAACACCUGAGAUCAGGACAGGACAGGGAUCUGAAGUCAUAACUGUAUGAAUGUAAUUUGACAUGAAACACCUGAGAUCAGG
rnacentral:lncRNA from 1 species